CCUACGGGCGGCUGCAGUGAGGAAUAUUGGUCAAUGGGCGCGAGCCUGAACCAGCCAAGUCGCGUGAGGGAAGACGGUCCUAUGGAUUGUAAACCUCUUUUGUCGGGGAGCAAAAGACGCCACGCGUGGCGUUCCGAGAGUACCCGAAGAAAAAGCAUCGGCAAACUCCGUACCAGCAGCCGCGGUAAUACGGAGGAUGCGAGCGUUAUCCGGAUUUAUUGGGUUUAAGGGGUGCGCAGGCGGAAGAUCAAGUCAGCGGUAAAAUUGAGAGGCUCAACCUCUUCGAGCCGUUGAAACUGGUUUUCUUGAGUGAGUGAGAGGUAUGCGGAAUGCGUGGUGUAGCGGUGAAAUGCAUAGAUAUCACGCAGAACUCCGAUUGCGAAGGCAGCAUACCGGCGCUCAACUGACGCUGAUGCACGAAAGUGUGGGUAGCGAACAGGAUUAGAUACCCUGGUAGUC
rnacentral:rRNA from 1 species